GCCGCGCUUCUUUUGUCCGAUCGAUAGAUCUUCCUUCAGCCAGCUUCUCAAGCUCGGCCGAACGGGCACAACAAUAUAUAUAAGCGCCUUAUAUCUAUUGUGGUUAAGAUUGAUUACGUUCAAGUUGACAAAUAGCUACAAGCGAUUGAACGUGAUAAGGUUCUUACAAAUCCAACUGAUCACAUUUAUCGCUGAGAUUCACGCGCCGAUAACUGAUCGAUAGUCUUGUGUGUGUUGUGUGCGAUGGUUUGAUUUGUUUUGAGCAUGUGUAUUGUCCACUAGGCGCAAGCCUUGCAAGCCUCUUUCCAGUCACUUUCAGUACCAUAUAUGAAUAUAUGUUCUAAGGGUGUCUCAUCGUAAACACACGUGGCGAAAAUUCAAUGUAUAAAAGGAUAUGUAUUAUUUUAGGUAAAUAUGCAGCAAUAAUGCAAUCUCUUCCAAAGUGAUUAGGUUAUAAUGAUAUAAACCUAUAAUCUAACCUAAUCUUGUAUUAAAUUUCUUACCUAACCUAGUUAAUGAGAUUUUUUGACUUGAAUUCUUGUCCUACGUAUCUCGUGGUACACUCCAUGUAUAUUUUUUUAGUUAUAUCCUGUACAAUUUAACAUAUUUCUUUUCAAUAAUGUAAACUACACAUAAUAAAUAUGCAACGUGUACAGCACUUUAUAUCAGAAAAAUGGAAAACUGGCAAUUUACGAUUGCGGAAUUUUUUGAUGGAUUACAAUUGAUACUCACAGUAUGAUACAAUGCUAAUAAAAUGUCAUGUAUAUGGCCUAGUUAUAUGGAAACUAAAUUGCGCAUUAAUAUGGCAAGAGAAAUGCCACGAGAAAAAUCUGAUUGAGAAGAACUACCACUUAAAAGAAUUUUAGGCACAGGAAACUUAUGAAGAAGGUAUGCAGAAACUAAUUUUAACGCAAGAUACAUCAAAUAUAGAUGAUACAGGGAUAUCAUCAGAUGAAUUAAGGAAACAAAAAAAAAAGAGAAGACGUAUACAAGCUAAAAGACAUGCAUCAUCCCCCUCUUCUUCUUCAGAAGACAUAUCUUUAAAGGAUAAGAAAAAUCAAUUAAACGUAAAUCAAUCUAAAAUCCUGCCUCCUUUUCCUUAAAGAAGUACAGUAUCAAUUGAUAAAGUAGUUAAUAAAUCUACACAAAAUAUUUUACAUGAAAACAAUUUUAAUCCUACGAACAACACAUACAGUAAUGGUGAGUAAUAAAAUUUAUAAAUAAACUAUAUGACACAAAAAAUUAUUAAUAACUUUUACUCUUUAGAUACAAAUAAAAAAGCAACUUGAUAAAAAUAAACUUUGUAUGCAAGAUUCUCCAAAAAAUAUCGAAAAAGAAAAUUUUUAUGCUGAUGGUAUUUACUAUAAAAAUAAAUUAUUAAAUUUUUUAUUUCUUUUAUUAAAAAGCUGUGCUGAGAAAUGUAUGUCUAUGCGCGUGUGUCUAGUUAUUGUAUGAUAGUGUUACGGCCGUGCUAUUUGUAAUGUGUUACCGUGUAGCUUUUUUAUUCGAUAUUAAUGAGUUGACGGUUGCUUGUUAGCGACGCUUGUUGCUAUGCUGUUUUUGUCUGAAGCCUCGUUUGGUAACGGACGUGUUUCAAUAAACGUCUGAGUUUCUUUAAAAGUCUGCUCAAUCAUUUAUUGUACGCGAGUGCCUUUUUGUGCGAGAGUGCGCGUGAGUGUCCUAUGCCACCGACGGACGUAACAAUAUUUAGCAUUUUAAAUAUUGUACCAUAACAACAUUACUAAAAUAUAUAAUAAAUUUAUUUCAGAUUUAACUAAACAAAUUACAGGAAAAAUUAACAAAGUAUUAUAUAAAUUGGAUAAUAUUGAAAAUAGAUUUGAUAUUUAUUAGAGGAAAAAAUACAACCUUCCAGGCAUUACAAUGAUUCAGAAUUCGAUAUCCAGUUCCCGAUAUCUACAUUUACUGAAUUGAUAAACUUUGAGGAACAAUUGAAAGAAACUACUGUCACGAGUGGCGAAAGCCACCGCUGACGAAACAAUUAAUUACAAAAUACAAUUUGUUUAUAUUAUGCCACCGGUAUCGGUAAUGCCGACAUCAUGACACAGUAACCGAUACCAGGAACGCUGAAUAGGCGACCUUCUCGAGUGGACAACAGAUCUGCUAAAUCUGCAAGGCCAGAUCGGCCAGCUCUCCAAUAACUAGAGAGCCAACGACAGACGCGGUAGACUCAGGUUAAAGCACGCGACAGUCUAUUUCGGUACUAUCUUACCUAUCUCAAAUAAAAGGCAGUGUAACAAACUAUAAUAAAGAACUUUAUUAUUAACCGUACAACGAGUGUUUAAUUCAAACGUCUCCGAUCGACGGGCUCCUGCCAAACGAAUCCGAGGAAAUCACGCAUAACACCACAUUUGAGGACAAAGUACUUCGCAUUUUAAAAAGUGUUGGUGGGUUUAAUGCACAUACUAUGGUAAGAAGUAUUUUGAAAAAAGUAACAGUAGAUCCUUUAGCGCAAAAUUUUAACUGGACUGGCAAAAACAAUAAGUGUUGUUUCAAAGAUUUAAGUCUUUCUAAAGUGAUCGUAUAGACUGUUCGUGUAACAUAUCAAUUAACGGAAAGUGACAUUGCAGACUACAUAUCAAAACGGCUUGCUCAAGCUUCUGUAAGAAUUCAAAGAAAUAAGUAUGUAUACGUAUGUUUUCUCUGUUAGGAAUGUCAUGAUUAUAUAUAGAUUAAUCAGAUUUCUUGGUUUGGAAUUUAAUCAAAUUAAAAUUGAUUUAUAGCAAUAUAGAAUAAGCAAUAGUCAGAUGUCACUUUUUUGUUCAUGCUGAAUCAAUGCUGAAAAAAUUAUAAAUAUAUUAUCUGAAUAUUAUAUGUAAAAUUCUUUAGAAUAUUGUUAUAAUUUUGUUAUUACACUCAAACGAAAAAAUCUAAUUGAAACAUUUGUAGAAUAUAGUUAAUUAUUGAUUUAAUUAAAUGUAUAACUUUGAUCUUUAUACUGAUGUUUCAGAGAUACUCAAGAAAAAAUCAAAGAAGUUAAAAUAUA